AUUGAACGCUGGCGGCAUGCCUUACACAUGCAAGUCGAACGGCAGCACGGGAGCAAUCCUGGUGGCGAGUGGCGAACGGGUGAGUAAAGUAUCGGAACGUGCCCAGUCGUGGGGGAUAACGUAGCGAAAGUUACGCUAAUUCCGCAUACGAUCUAUGGAUGAAAGCGGGGGAUCGCAAGACCUCGCGCGAUUGGAGCGGCCGAUAUCAGAUUAGGUAGUUGGUGGGGUAAAGGCUCACCAAGCCGACGAUCUGUAGCUGGUCUGAGAGGACGACCAGCCACACUGGGACUGGGACACGGCCCAGACUCCUACGGGAGGCAGCAGUGGGGAAUUUUGGACAAUGGGCGAAAGCCUGAUCCAGCCAUGCCGUGUGCAGGAUGAAGGCCUUCGGGUUGUAAACUGCUUUUGUACGGAACGAAAAGGUUUGGCCUAAUAAGCUGAGCUCAUGACGGUACCGUAAGAAUAAGCACCGGCUAACUACGUGCCAGCAGCCGCGGUAA
rnacentral:rRNA from 1 species